AGCUCCAAUAGCGUAUAUUAAAGUUGCUGCAGUUAAAAAGCUCGUAGUUGCAUUUCCGAGGCAAGGGAUUAGUCCGACCUUUGGUGGGUAUUUAAUCCUCUUGCCUCGUCCUUGAGUGGUGCUUCUUGGUAUUAAGUUAUCGAGGAGAUAGCCGCUCAUCGUUUACUGUGAGAAAAUUAGAGUGUUCAAAGCAGGCUUAUGCCGUUGAAUAUAUUAGCAUGGAAUAAUAAGAUAGGACCUCGGUACUAUUUUGUUGGUUUGAGAACCAAGGUAAUGAUGAAUAGUGACAGUUGGGGGUAUUCGUAUUCAGUUGUCAGAGGUGAAAUUCUUAGAUUUACGGAAGACGAACUACUGCGAAAGCAUUUUCCAAGGAUGUUUUCA
rnacentral:rRNA from 1 species